CCUACGGGCGGCUGCAGUGGGGAAUAUUGCACAAUGGGCGCAAGCCUGAUGCAGCCAUGCCGCGUGUGUGAAGAAGGCCUUCGGGUUGUAAAGCACUUUCAGCGGGGAGGAAGGCGGUGAGGUUAAUAACCUCAUCGAUUGACGUUACCCGCAGAAGAAGCAUCGGCUAACUCCGUGCCAGCAGCCGCGGUAAUACGGAGGGUGCAAGCGUUAAUCGGAAUUACUGGGCGUAAAGCGCACGCAGGCGGUCUGUCAAGUCGGAUGUGAAAUCCCCGGGCUCAACCUGGGAACUGCAUUCGAAACUGGCAGGCUAGAGUCUUGUAGAGGGGGGUAGAAUUCCAGGUGUAGCGGUGAAAUGCGUAGAGAUCUGGAGGAAUACCGGUGGCGAAGGCGGCCCCCUGGACAAAGACUGACGCUCAGGUGCGAAAGCGUGGGGAGCAAACAGGAUUAGAUACCCUAGUAGUC
rnacentral:rRNA from 1 species